rnacentral:rRNA from 1 species
UAUGUGAUCGUCUCUCGCAUAUCAAUAAGCGGAGGAAAAGAAACUAACAAGGAUUCCCCUAGUAACGGCGAGUGAAGCGGGAAGAGCUCAAAUUUGAAAUCUUAAAGGGUUUCCCUUUACGAAUUGUAGUUUAAAGAAGUGUUUUCUGUUGAGGUUUUGGUAAAAGUUCUUUGGAAUAGGACAUCAUAGAGGGUGAGAAUCCCGUAUUUGACCUUUACUUUCAACUUUGUGAUACACUUUCAAAGAGUCGGAUUGUUUGGGAAUGCAGUCCAAAAUGGGUAGUAAAUUUCAUCUAAAGCUAAAUAUUGGCGAGAGACCGAUAGCGAACAAGUACCGUGAGGGAAAGAUGAAAAGAACUUUGAAAAGAGAGUUAAACAGUACAGUGAAAUUGUCAAAAGGGAAGCGUCUGACACCAGUGUUGUUUUUCUGAAAAUCAAUUAAAGAACUGUUUAUGCUAAGCUGUUUAGACUUUAUCAGCUAUCCUGUUUAGUUUUGAGCUUUUCUUUAAUGCACUUUUCAGUUAACAAGUCAACAUCAAUUUCUUUUGCUGUAAAAAAGCUUGAGGAAGGUGGCUUGAGAUUCGUCUUAAGUGUUUAUAGCCUCUUGCCUAUGCAGUCGGAGAGAUUGAGGUCUGCAGCGUAGAUCCUUCGGGGCUAAAUGCAUUUGUGCUAAGUUAUAGCAUUUUAUAGACAACUUGUUGACUAUGAUUUGUCUUGUAGCUUACUCGCUUAUGUUAUUUUACCUACGCUUAGGAUGUUGAGCGCAUGUCUCUCUCU